rnacentral:rRNA from 1 species
UACGUAGGUGGCAAGCGUUGUCCGGAAUUAUUGGGCGUAAAGCGCGCGCAGGCGGUCCUUUAAGUCUGAUGUGAAAGCCCACGGCUCAACCGUGGAGGGUCAUUGGAAACUGGGGGACUUGAGUGCAGGAGAGAAGAGUGGAAUUCCACGUGUAGCGGUGAAAUGCGUAGAGAUGUGGAGGAACACCAGUGGCGAAGGCGGCUCACUGGACCGGAACUGACGCUGAGGCGCGAAAGCGUGGGGGGCAAACAGG